CGUGGAGAAAAACAAUGAAAAACGAAGCUCUCAGCACCUUCUCCGUGAUAUUCGUGAUGCUGUAGAUUUCUCCUGGGCAUCUCUCAGAUUGAAGAGGUGGACCAGGGAGGAAUGUUUGUAUAAACACGAAUGUGAAGGAAAUGCCUGGGGAGUAGCUGCCUGCUAUGGAAAUGAGCCUGGAGGUCAUCUGCGAAUAUCCGCAACAGAGACCUGGUUCUGGAUGAACUUCUCCAGCCAGAGGAGAUAAACCCAGUGUGUGAUUCAUGUGUCCAGUCAAAACUGACAGCACACUUCAGCAGAAGCCAUCUACUGUGUGCUGCUAAUGUGUAAUUGAUAAGCCAUGGCUUACUGGGAAAAAAAAUGGUGUGAGAAAUAUGAAAUACAUGUGAUAAAAGUAAUAACCUGAUCGCUCCUGAAUAAGAAAAGAGAUUGCAUUUGUUGAGCAAAUCCCAAUCCACCACUUCUCACGCUGGUACCGAAGGGCAGCUGUCACAGGAUGCACAGCUCCGGAGGGCUGUGGGUGACUGAGUUUACUGCAGAGAGGAGCCAGCCUACCUUUAACCACUGCCAAGAAGGAAGUCCGGCUCCCUGCCGCCGUCCCUGACCCCGGCGUGCAUCCUGCAGCUUCCCUUUCACCACACUGCUCCGUCACUGACCCACUCUGUGCCAGGCCAGGAGCUGAAGCAGCAGCACGGAGCCCUCCAGUUCCUGGAGAAGUUUUCUUGCUGGUGUAGCUCCCAGCACCAGUAUGCAGCAGGAUCAGCACAAGGGACCUGAUCACAGAAUCACAGCAUCAUUACGGUUGGAAAAGACCUCCAAGAUCAUCUAAUGGAAGUGUGCAGGCUGCUGAGCCUGGCCACCCUUUCCAACAGCAGCUCCCCACUAAAAAUAUAAUCAAAAUCUCUUUCUCGGCCUCCUAAUCCCACCUUGCCAUGAAAAGAACAACAUUAGAUGUCACAGCAAAAGCAAAAGGCUGUAGGGGGAAGAAGCAUGCAGUCUUCACUGACCGUGAGAAUUAAUUUCUGCCAUAAAACACGGCACAAAAUCUGAAAAGUCUGAGAACCAUCCAAAAGCCUCGUCCUCCAGCAGUGAAUUUUAAAGGUAUUAGUUAUGGUUUAACAUCACCUGAAAAUACAUGAAUGCCUCGCAGGGCAGAUUGACGGGCAGGCUGCAGCCCCAGGGG
rnacentral:lncRNA from 1 species